CUACAGGAGGCUAUGGCCGAGCAAAGCGCUUGCCAAGAACAGGGACCCCCUGUUAUGAGGUAGAGUGGCGAACACCAGCACCAGGAUGGGGACCCGGUGGAAACACUCUCAAAUGUGUAGAGCAUAGCCCCUGGUAUAGGGGAACCAGGAAGGCUUGUCAGGUACAGCCUAUGGCAGUGGUGCAGGUACCCCCCUGUUAAGGAG